CCCAGACUCCUACGGGAGGCAGCAGUGAGGAAUAUUGGUCAAUGGGCGGAAGCCUGAACCAGCCAAGUCGCGUGAGGGAAGAAGGCCCUGCGGGUCGCAGACCUCUUUGGACGGGGAGCAAGGCCGCCGACGUGUCGGCGGAAGGAGAGUACCCGUAGAACAAGCAUCGGCUAACUACGUGCCAGCAGCCGCGGUAAUACGUAGGGAGCAAGCGUUGUCCGGAAUUACUGGGCGUAAAGGGCGCGUAGGUGGGCGCUUAAGUCAGGUGUGAAAACUCCGGGCUCAACCUGGAGACUGCACUUGAAACUGGGUGUCUUGAGGGCAGGAGAGGAAAGUGGAAUUCCUAGUGUAGCGGUGAAAUGCGUAGAUAUUAGGAGGAACACCAGUGGCGAAGGCGACUUUCUGGACUGUACCUGACGCUGAGGCGCGAAAGCGUGGGUAGCGAACGGGAUUAGAUACCCCUGUA
rnacentral:rRNA from 1 species